AUUGAACGCUGGCGGCAUGCUUUACACAUGCAAGUCGAACGGCAGCGCGGGCUUCGGCCUGGCGGCGAGUGGCGAACGGGUGAGUAAUAUAUCGGAACGUACCCAAGAGUGGGGAUAACGUAGCGAAAGUUACGCUAAUACCGCAUACGAUCUAAGGAUGAAAGCAGGGGAUCGCAAGACCUUGUGCUCCUGGAGCGGCCGAUAUCUGAUUAGCUAGUUGGUGGGUAAAGGCCCGCCAAGGCAACGAUCAGUAGCUGGUCUGAGAGGACGACCAGCCACACUGGAACUGAGACACGGUCCAGACUCCGUACGGGAGGCAGCAGGU
rnacentral:rRNA from 1 species